GUCCAGCUUUCCAUUUCAUAUAUAUUUUUAAUUUUCAUAUAUAUUUUGAAUUACUUUCUCAAAGUUUGUGGUGUGUCUGCAGCUUUCCAGGGAAGACCAUGAAAGAGCUUUGUGAUUUACCUCUGUACCAACAUGCUGUGGUGACCUGUAUGUACCGUCUGGAGAGGAACAGGGCCAUGUUGACAUCUACACUUCUACCAUGAACCAGAUACUACUUUGCUUUUCUUUUUUUACAUUUUUUUUUGUUAGUCUUUCUGCUAUGUUACAUGCUCUCACAGUUAGAUAUUGACUCGGCAAAAAAAAAAAAAAGAUCUUUUUUAAUUGGAUGCUCAGCUGCUAGUAUCAGCACAAUGGAUGGACUAAUUGGAAAUUGGAUUGCUAAAGUGAAUCAUGACUAUUUACCAGCUUUUAAACUCCAUCCAGGAUCACAGGACAGAGGGUAAGUCCCACUUGCUCUUCUGUUAGGCAGAACACGUGGCUACACGAUUUUCCAGCUCUGCCCUUCACAGAUGGAGAUCGUUACAGAUGAAAUGUAUUCUUUAUGUUGUUUUGCUCACUACUCCCAUGCAGAGAUGGACUGGGGUGGAGAAUGCCUCAUACAACGUAGCCCUGAAAUCAUAACCCUCAGAAGAAAUGUUGCAGUAUGAAUGUGUUGCCUGGCUUUAUACCCAAGCUCCCUUCUUAGCUUUUGAAAUCAUAUACAGCAUUGUUGCAAUCCAGCAGUUCUGUCAUGGCAUCUUGAUUUAAGUUCAGGCCACCUCAGGAUGGGAAGAGGAUGUCAGUUUAGGUCCCUAGCUACCUUCAGAUGGUGCUCUCAGCUCAGGCAGGAUGGACUCUUUCUUCCACCAGUGUUUGGAAGAUCCUUGGGGCUAUCAAAGGGAGCUGAGACAUGACAGCAAGAUGCCCCUUGCCUGUCCUCCUGGGGCGCAACGUGUCUCUAAACCAGUCCAAGUUUCCAGCUUGAGCUGUGGGUUUUACACAGCUCUUUAGUUGUGACAACUGGUCUGUGGGAUGCCUCCCUCUAUGCUGUGGCCAUUUUCUUUGGAGGAAACAGUGAGCUGCUCUUGAGGCUGGGAACACCGCCCCAGCAGGCAAGAACCUCCUUUUCCUUCAUUUUCUGGAAGUUCUUACCAGAGAACAUGACUUCAGGGCGAAGUACAGGAAAUCUGCCUCCCCAGCUUUAUCCUCACAACGUCCUUUAGUGGCUUAGACCAGAGAUCCAGACAACACAGCAGUGGCCGCAGGAGGCUGUGCAGGAUGAGGGAGGAAGGAGGAGGAUUUAUGGGGAAAGAGCAUCCCAUCGGCAUCAAGACAGCCAAAAACCAUCACCAUCAAUAACAGCCUGUGGGGAGUGGAUGUCCCAGGAGUGGCAUCCAGCUCCAGUGGCAGCUGAUUUUGGGCCACCCUGAUUUACCACAUCAGGCUUUAGUCUGUGACCAGAGUACCAAAGAGCAGAAAGUUUAGAAGAAAUUGGAGUACUGUUUGCUGCUGAUGAGAGCUAAGUGGAAAAAUAUAACCAAGAUGAUAAGCAAAAUCCCUUUAUCUGCCAGUUACAAACCUCCAAGCAGAAAAGCUGAAGAACUACACAGAAAAAAGUCUCUGCAAGGUAGCAAAGACUUGUAAAAAAAAAAAAAAAAGAAAAGAAAAAAUGGGAGUUGGCAGGAUGAUUUUGAGCACUGCCUUCUGUCCCAUUAAUCAACAUCAGAUGAUGUAUGUAUAAAAGAACAGUGCUGAAUGAAACAAGACCAGUUUGAUCCCAAAAAGUGGAGUAUAAAGCUGACAGGAAAAAUGGAAUAAUAUUUCAUAAGGAAGGUGGCUGAAACAUUCUGGGUGGAUUUUGCUAGAUUUAGUGAAAGUGAAAUGAAGUUAAAAAAAUUUUCAAGCAGUGUCAACAAGACCUCAUGCUCACAUUUUUUAUUAAACUUUAUGAUUUUUAGUUUCUAUUUUAACAAUGUUUACAUUAUGUGGUCUAACUCAAAUCAUAUGUUACAUGUUACUUAAAAGACACACACACACACCAAAAACAUACACACACACAAAAAAAAAGAUUAGUUGACUUGGGACAUCCCAAUAUUUUGGCAUUUUAAUUUCUGGAGAAGUGUUGGGGUUUUCUGCUCCCAAAAAUUCAUUUGUAAAGAAGGGAGGAGGAAUUUGUCCUUCCCUCCGUUUGGCACGCAACACACAAGUGCCUUUCUGUAAACAGCAGACUCAUUUGAGCAAUAAGCAACCCACACAACAGGCUGGCUUCUGGCUUUUGCUAACUGGAGUCUAGAGGGCUAAGUGCAACAAAAACUUGAGUUGCCCACAGAAUAGCUACUCUGAUUCAGCUGAAACCUGAAGCAGAUUUUGGUCCUUCUUAGAAAAUGCUUGUACUUUUUUUGUUGGUUGUUGUUGUUUCUAACAAAGACAGAACUGAACCAGUCUCCCAAGCUGAGAUGCUCAGAGAUGUCCAAAAUGAGAUGUGACUGGCAAGAAUACAAUACACAGAUUAAUAAGGAAGUCAUUAAAAGACAGAGAAGCCCUGAAGGGAUGGAGUGGCUUUUAGUUUGAGGAAGAAUAGGUACCUAAGCUCUCGUUUUGCAUUAAAUUUUACCCUUCCUUUCUGCAGUAAGCCAUAAGUCAACUGUUUGCUGUGACUUCAUCAGAAAACAAUCCCUCUCUUUUCUUUCUUGCUCAUAGGCAUCUUGGGCUCAAUAGAAAGCUUUCUGACUUGGAUCCAACUGUUUGCUCAGUUUAGAGGAAGUUUCUGAUGCUAUUCAGUAUUUCACAAUGGCACCAAAAGGAAAUUUAUCAGCACAGGGACUCUACUUAAUUAACAAGCUGCCAGAAACACCCCUGAAACAGGAGAGGAGAAAGGCUAUUGCAAGGCACAGCUGGGAUGUCAGUAGGGGUGGUGAAGAAAGAUUACACCAGGGAAGGAGGUGUCCUGCAACAUGGAAGUAAGAAAAAUGGAAAGGAAUGACCACGUAUCUGAAGAAUAAAAUAAAAAGGCAACAACGAAAACA
rnacentral:lncRNA from 1 species